rnacentral:lncRNA from 1 species
UUACAUUAUAUUCUUUAAGCAUAAGAAACAUAUAUAUUUUUGGUCUUAAGACCUAAGACUACAUUUCACUUUAUUGAGAAGGUAAAGGAUUUUCUGAAGCAUACAUAGGACUCCCCAUCUGUGGUAGCUCCACCUUCUCGACUCACCCUCGGAAGUACCUCUGUACUCCGUAGCUUUACCCCUUGUGCGUUCUAACUAGAUACUCUCACUCAUCACAUACACAUAAAAGCAUAACGCACAUANUCACUCAUCACAUACACACAAAAGCAUAACGCACAUAUAACAGCAAACCCUAGACUAAGGCAUCACAAAUCAGGCCACUCUAGUCCUAAGAUGUGAAAUACCUAGCCUGUCUCUAGCAUGCAAUAAUGUCUCAUAAAGUGCAUAAUAGAUAUUUCAUAAUACAAAAGUAAGGGUAUUUUGGGAAAUCACCGUUUGGCUCUGGCUGAUUGUACACACUGCUCUUUCUUGCUUUCUCUUUGAACUCUUAUUCACUUUUAGAAAACCAUUUAUUUGGAAAACUUUUUCUUACUUCCUCAGUUUGAGUCCAGAUUUACCCGUAGGCGCGUCCGAAUCCCUCAAACCAAGGCUCUGAUACCAAUUUGUAACACCGAGAUUUCCAAAAAACAAAAUUUUCAUUUAAAUACUCAAUUUAAUAUUAAGAACACUUGUUUAAAUCCUAUUCACAUUCGAAUUACAAAACAUGGUUUCAUUUUCAUUAUAGUAGAAGACCAGGAUCCUCCAAAAUACAACUCUUUCUUCGGUGUGUACAAUCGAACCGUUGCCAUCCCGCGUUACUGUAAGAACCUGAAACCACAUAACAUAAACAACGUAAGCACGAAGCUUAGUGAGUUCCCCAAUAUACCUUACGCACAUACGCCUUCCGGCCCGGACCUUUCGGUCCACAUAACAUUGCCUUCCGGCCCGGAUCUUUCGAUCCACAUAACAUUGCCUUCCGGCCCGGACCUUUCGGUCCACAAUAUAUAUCGCCUUCCGGCCCAUAAGAUAAUUGCCUUCCGGCCCAUACACAUAUAUAACACAUAAUACAAAUACUCUAACACAUAAAGCACAUAUAUCAUAUAUCAUACCUGACCUUUCUGUCACAUAAUACCUUGCCUUCCGGCCCAUAUAUAAGCAUGUAUAUCACGCGUAGCAGCUAACUUUCCAUUUAUAGCAUAUAAACAUAACACAUAACAUACUUGACCUUCCGGUCACACAGUCAAACCCUUCCGGGUGAAGUAUAGUGAGAAGACUCACCUCGCGGACACUGGAAGAUAGCAACUCCUAAAAUCCCUUGCACUUGAUCCUCCGAGCUACAAGCUCCCUGUAACAUCAUAUAUCCCUUAUUAAUACUUCUAUCUUCCACGUUAACUGACCCUAAGAAAUCACACCAGUCAACUCUGGUCAACAGUCCAUUGUCAGCUCGACUGGACUCGGCGAGUUCCCUGGCGACUCGGCGAGUCUGGUCGUCCUUCAAUCCUCUAAGAUUCCCCUUCUACUCGUCGAGUAUCCUCUUUGACUCGACGAGUCACUCCUGGAAGAAUCGCGGG